UACGUAGGGUGCGAGCGUUAAUCGGAAUUACUGGGCGUAAAGGGCGCGUAGGCGGCCGAUCAAGUUAGAUGUGAAAGUCCUGGGCUUAACCUGGGGACUGCAUUUGAUACUGAUUGGCUUGAAUUCGGGAGAGGAUAGCGGAAUUCCCAGUGUAGAGGUGAAAUUCGUAGAUAUUGGGAAGAACACCGGUGGCGAAGGCGGCUAUCUGGACCGACAUUGACGCGUGAGGCGG
rnacentral:rRNA from 1 species